ACUGAAAAGACCAUUAAUUCCUAUUAAAUCUCUUGGAAUAAUAUUAAAAUAUUAGAUUUAAUAAUUAUUUUAGUAAAAUGCGUGUAAAAACUUACAAAAAAUGUUUAUAUUAUUUAAUGUCAAGUGGUACCUGCAUGGUGUUUAUAGGAGGCUGCUGGUUUUUAUAUCAACUACGACAGACAUCAAAGAUCCUUCGAACAACUGUAACGACAGAUAUUCUUAAUUUAGAGAAAGCACGUAAAUCAUACAUAUACGUUGAUAAACCUCAAUAUAAAGAUAUAUUUACAUUUCACGAUGAGAAAAAUCAAUAUGUGUCAGAAAGACAAUCAGCAGUUAAUCACAAUAUAACAAAUGUCAUAGCUAGAUUUAAUUAUAAUGUAACUAAUAUUGUAACCAUCAUAGUUGAUAUCAUAGCGGAGAGAUGGAAAAUGUUAAAUCAAAAAUUAGCUUAUAGAUUGUUAAAUGUUGCUCGUUUUGGUGAUGAACAUGAAAGAAUAAGGGCUACGACAGCUUUAUGUUCUUUAAGUGAUUUAGAAGAUUGGCAUUAUCAAAAUAUGGCACAGAUGUUAGAUGCUAGGACAGCUAUUGCUCUUGCACGUACACCCAAUGUUGAUCAACGCUUUUUCCUAGUACCACCUUAUUUUCAUAUGGAAUAUAAAUUGCAUGAUGUCAUCGAGAAAGUGCACAACAUGUUGUUACAUUUAAAUUCAUUAUGCGACAAAUUACAUCCAUGUCUGACCCAAUUUCUUUAUAAAAAGUUUGGAAAUUUAUUUAGGGAUGGUUUAAUGUUUGAACAUGAUUUAACAAGUAUGGGUUUAGCAGUUCCUCCGACAAUAAUAUGGAAUGAAGAAUUACUUCAAAACUGUGUCCAAGCAAUUUAUCAUCAUUCUUCCCUCGAACAAUAUAGUAAAGAUAUUGUGAAUGCUGGUGGUCUGGAGAUACUAAUGUUAAUUUACAAAACCUUCAGCAAUAAUAUCGAAAUGUGUACAAUUCUUGCCAACAUACUUUCUAAUAUAUCACUUCACACAGAAUAUUUAGAUGAUUUUUUCCGAUCAGGAUGGUUUGGUAUAUUAGUAGCAUGGUCUAAGAACAAAGACAUAAGAUUAUCGGUACCUGCAGGAUGUGCAUUAGCAAACUUAGACAUAGAUAGAAAUAAGCAUAUUAAAUAUCCCAGACACGUAUACCUUCUUCAUCCAUUGCAUAGAACUGACACACCAUUGAAACUGGACGUUGUAUUUUUGCAUGGUUUGCUUGGCGGUGUAUUUAUAACGUGGAGACAGAGAGACAUUAUUAAAGAUGAUGCAAUUAAAUGCGAAGAUCCUAUUAACAUAGAAAAAGAGAGCAGUGAACUCUCUGCAUUGGUCAAAGAUUAUCCACAAGAAUUUUUCAAAGAUUUGGCUUACGAUUUGCAAAUGCGUGCAUGGAAAAAAUUAGGCAGAGACUACGAGGUGAUACUCGAUGAUUGUCCUAUUAAUGUUAAUUAUCAAGCAACUGGUCCAUUUACUUGUAAAGGGGACGACGCUUGCAUGAAAAAUUCGGAGCAAGAUAAAAUUUGUAGAACACAAUGUUGGCCGAUGGAUUGGUUGCCUCGAGAUGUACCAUAUCUUCGAAUACUCGGUGUUAAUUAUGACACCAAUUUAUCUAUGUGGACACCUUUGUGUCCAAUAGAGAGCUUGAAAAGUACCAUCAGUGAUAGAAGUAAUGAAUAUAUUAAUAAAUUAUUGAUAGCAGAUGUUGGAAAACGACCAAUUAUAUGGGUGUGUCAUUCAAUGGGUGGUUUAUUAGUUAAAAAAAUGCUCGUCGAAGAAUGGAAAACUGGAGACAAACAUAAUAUAUGUAAAAAUACACGCGGCAUAGUAUUUUAUAGUACUCCGCAUCGCGGUUCGCACAUAGCUGCAUUAACGCAAGCAACACAAAUGCUUGUAUGGCCAUCUAUAGAGGUGCAGGAAUUACGAGAAGAAUCACCGCAUCUUCUUGGAUUGCACAAAGAUUUUCUUGAGAUGUUAAAAGAUUAUCCUAUGAAUAUAGUGAGUUUCAGUGAAACUAAAUCUACCCUGGUAACUGCUUUAAAACUUUCAUUCCAAUUUGUCACACCUGACUCAGCAGAUCCUGGAGUAGGAGAAUUUUUUGAAAUUCCACAGGAUCAUUUGACGAUUUGUAAACCUGCUAAUAGGCGAUCGUUUUUAUAUCAAAAGCUCUUAUGCUUACUUCGACACCAGAUAGAAACGCGAAAAGAAUCAAAGAGUUCAACAUUUAUGAGUCUAUCAUUACCAGAUAGAUUGUGGCCAUCGUUUGCAAAAUAAAUAAGGUUCCUCAUCUUUACUUCCAUUACUACCUCUCUCUUUUCUGAUUCUUUAUUAUUCCAUAUAUAAUAAAGAUAAUGUAUUUCGUACCAACAAGAAAGAAGAUUACGAAGAGGAAGAGGCAUGAUGGAAUUCCUCCUACGUGCUGCGACAUUUUCAUCAACCAAACUUGAAUCCCAUUAAAAUCUUUUUCAGUCUUUCUUUGAACUCUUUCAACUCCCGUUUUAAUAUAAAAUUAAAGUAACUAUCAUGAUUGCAUCCCCCAA
rnacentral:misc_RNA from 1 species